AAAUAAACAGGUGUCCGGGUAAUCCCCCAACGUAGGAUGCCACCAAAUUUGAAGACACUGGGUACAACAGUGCAUGAAAUAUCUCGCUAACAAGA